GAAAUGUCUAAUCUGAGAUCCCAAAGGGAGGCCCAACUGAAACAGGGAGAGGGGCGUUUCAUAGAGAGGAGACAGUACAUGGGAAGCCACCAAGUCUAAAGGAAACAUGGCACCUUCUGAGAGGCUGAUAGUGCUUUGACAUGGCUGUAGCCUUGCUUAGAAUCAAUUUUCCAUCUAAAAUCUCUCUGUUCUCACUCUUACAACAAUGAAAAGCCAUUGAGCAGUAUCAGCUGGGCAUAGAUAACAUCGAGUUUGCAUUUUCAAAGAUCCUCCUGGUCAAAAUGUGGAGUUAGGAGUGUGGAUGAUGUCCAAGACAUUUGCAGUUUUCCAAGUGUAACAAGAUGCAAGCUUGCCAGAGAAAAGCCAAAAUUCCUGAAAAUUUUGGAAUGUUUUUGAGCACACGGGACUUCACCUUAUACAUGGAGAUGAUGGAAAGUGAAAAAUUGAAGAUGACACCUGGAAUAGGGUCUCAGGCAAUCAGUUUGAGCUUUGUAGGCAUCCAGAGAAAAUAAGAGAUGUCUGAUGAUUAGGCGAGAACUUGAGGCUGAGGACAUAUCAUCAUACUACACAGUUGACCCUUGAACAAUAAGAAUUGGAACUGUGUGAGUCCACUUAUACGUGGAUUUUCUUCUGCCUCUGCGACUCCUGAGACAGCAAAACCAACCCUUCCUCUUCCUCUUCAGCCUACUCAACAUGAAGACAAGGAGGAUGAAGAGUUUUGUGAUAAUCCACUUCCACUUAAUGAAUAAUUCAUCUUACAAGUGGAGACCUGGAGAUUCCUAGAUCUAAUUGUACUGCAGUUUGCCAAUCUAACAGAAGGACAAGUACUUGGAAUGCCAUGCAACAAUGUCUCCAGAUCACUUGCAAGUGGACACCCAAAAC
rnacentral:lncRNA from 10 species